rnacentral:piRNA from 1 species
UAUUGUACGACGAGAUGACUGAAGUAGU